rnacentral:rRNA from 1 species
GUGUGCGAUCCUUUCAACACUAAUGCAUCGGAUUACAUCGGAACUCUGAAGUUAAGUGCUUGGGCGAGAAUGGUACUAAGAUGAGCUUUGUCAUAGGACUUCCAUAGACACAAGCA